AGCUUUGCGCAGUGGCAGUAUCGUAGCCAAUGAGGUUUAUCCGAGGCGCGAUUAUUGCUAAUUGAAAACUUUUCCCAAUAAGCUAUGCUAAUAUACUAUGCAUUUACCCCAAACUCUGUCUUCAAGUCGGUUCCUUUUGGG